rnacentral:rRNA from 1 species
GAUGAACGCUGGCGGCGUGCUUAACACAUGCAAGUCGAACGAUGAAGCCCAGCUUGCUGGGUGGAUUAGUGGCAAGCGGGUGAGUAACACGUGAGUAACCUGCCCUUAACUCUGGGAUAAGCCUGGGAAACUGGGUCUAAUACCGGAUAGGAGCGUCCACCGCAUGGUGGGUGUUGGAAAGAUUUAUCGGUUUUGGAUGGACUCGCGGCCUAUCAGCUUGUUGGUGAGGUAAUGGCUCACCAAGGCGACGACGGGUAGCCGGCCUGAGAGGGUGACCGGCCACACUGGGACUGAGACACGGCCCAGACUCCUACGGGAGGCAGCAGUGGGGAAUAUUGCACAAUGGGCGCAAGCCUGAUGCAGCGACGCCGCGUGAGGGAUGACGGCCUUCGGGUUGUAAACCUCUUUCAGUAGGGAAGAAGCGAAAGUGACGGUACCUGCAGAAGAAGCACCGGCUAACUACGUG